UCUUCCCUCUGGCGGCGUGCUUAACACAUGCAAGUCGAACGGAAAGGCCCAAGCUUGCUUGGGUACUCGAGUGGCGAACGGGUGAGUAACACGUGGGUGAUCUGCCCUGCACUUCGGGAUAAGCCUGGGAAACUGGGUCUAAUACCGGAUAGGACCACAUUUUGGAUGGUGUGGUGGAAAGUUUUUCGGUGUGGGAUGAGCUCGCGGCCUAUCAGCUUGUUGGUGGGGUGAUGGCCUACCAAGGCGUCGACGGGUAGCCGGCCUGAGAGGGUGUACGGCCACAUUGGGACUGAGAUACGGCGCAGACUCCGACGGGAGGCAGCAGUGGGGAAUAUUGCACAAUGGGCGCAAGCCUGAUGCAGCGAAGCCGCGUGGGGGAUGACGGCCUUCGGGUUGUAAACUCCUUUCGCUAGGGACGAAGCGCUUUUGUGACGGUACCUGGAGAAGAAGCACCGGCUAACUACGUG
rnacentral:rRNA from 1 species